rnacentral:rRNA from 1 species
UACGUAGGGUGCAGGCGUUAAUCGGAAUUACUGGGCGUAAAGCGUGCGCAGGCGGUUUCUUAAGUCAGAUGUGAAAGCCCCGGGCUCAACCUGGGAACUGCAUUUGAAACUGGCGGGCUUGAGUAUGGCAGAGGGGGGUGGAAUUCCGCGUGUAGCAGUGAAAUGCGUAGAGAUGCGGAGGAACACCGAUGGCGAAGGCAGCCCCCUGGGCCAAUACUGACGCUCAGGCACGAAAGCGUGGGGAGCAAACAGG